rnacentral:tRNA from 1 species
GGUAGUAGCUCAGUGGUAGAGCGAUUGCCUCGAAAGUAUGAGGCCCUGGGUUCAUUCUCAGCACCA